CACAACGCCGCGCCGUCCCAAGGCCGGCGCGCUGUGCAUGUGCCGAGCUAGAUCGACUGUACAUAAGUACAUGUACACAUGUGUACUCGUACAACUACAUGCUGUACUGGUAUCUACCACCACAUAUGCACAAGGCGCGUGGAAUCAUGAACGUGCUUGGCAAGUUAGAAAACAUUGCAUCGCUUUCAGGGCAUCUGGAUCGUGUUUGGCACGUUUCAUGGAGCCCAAGUGGUAAACUUCUAACUAGCUGCAGCGGUGAUAAAACUAUUCGCAUGUGGGGUACGCAGUGGAAUGGUGGACAAGGCGCCCAAGGUAUUGACUGGACAUGUAAAGCAGUUCUUCAAGAUGGCCAUUCUCGUACUGUGCGACGAGUUAGUUGGUCUCCGUGCGGCAGAUUACUAGCGUCUGUAAGCUUUGAUGGCACUACUUGUAUUUGGAGUCAAAAGAAUGCAGAGUUUGAAUGCAUUACUACAUUGGAAGGACAUGAAAAUGAAGUAAAAAGCGUUUGCUGGUCUCCAUCAGGGUCUUUACUUGCAACUUGCAGCAGAGAUAAGAGUGUCUGGAUAUGGGAAGUGGAUCAUGAAGAAGAUGAUUACCAGUGUGUUGGCGUUCUAAGUGUCCACACCCAAGAUGUAAAGAAUGUAUGUUGGCAUCCAUAUAAGGAGGUGUCAACCUAGACUUUUUAGGAAUAAAAUCCCACCAGGCCAGAGCAACCGCGUCCGACUGCGAGAUCCAAUUGACCCUGUAAGUACUCGCAUGGCCCGAGCCUUUCGGUGGAUCUGCCCAGCCAAAGCCCAUGAAAGUAGAUCCCGCGUAUUUGCCGUAGGUUAGGUGUAAGUCGUGCGCGUUGUAAUUUUUACCGGGCACUGGAAUAUAACCGUUGUCGUAAUAGUAAGCAGUGCCUAACCCGUUUGAUAAUGUAUCGCACGUCUGUUUGUAGGACUUACUUAGAUCAACUCCAAAGAACAGGCAAGUGUCUGUAAAUUUCUGAUGAUCGUAAUUAUUGUGUAACGCGUCAAAUACAUCAUCGCUGAGAAUGGGCAUCACGCAGCCGUAAAAUAUUUUUCUCACAGUGUAAUACACGUGAAAGUUGAAUAAAGUCGAGACAUAUGGAUUAGAAUCGGACAGUAGGUCAAGACCCACUCCACAUGCACUUGUCGCACAAUAUACUGCAAAAUUAAAUUGAUUUUGACAAAACGAAACGAUUGACCGCUUUGUCCGUGGUGACUCUCGGUAAUUGAUAUGUGUGAGUUAAAUUGGGAAACUCGGCUGUAAACGAGUUAUCUUUAUUGACGACGAUUGAUAAAUGACUAAAGUUGGCUCCCAUUUAUUUUAUAUGCCUUUAAAAGGAGGCUCUGUUGGUUCGCUCGCUUUGCUCACUUCUCGGUAAGCGGGUGGCUUAUGUUUGUAUUUGACCGACUUGAUAAAGUUACUCGCCAAGUCUUUUCAUAAGAUCUUUUUUAAAAACUGUCACUCGCACAUUGGCUAGUGCUUCUGCUCUUUCAUUGACUUGCCGUUCGAAUUCUUCUUUAUUAGCCGAUUUACUUUCUUUCAAUUUUAUAGACGUACUUGACCUAAUUUUUUCUUUCAUCUCGUUAAACUUCUUCAGCUGGGAUAAAAUGAGUGCAAAUUCUUCUUGCAAUAUGUCGCCAUCCUCGAUCGCGUGAGAGACGUAUUCCUUGAUGAUGUUUAAUUUGGCAUCGGCAAGCACGCAGAUUUGAUCGUGAUUUUGUGCCACAGCUUGCGACUGGCUAAUUUUAGCAAAGCGUAGGCACCAAAUGCGCCGAUAGCAAUGCCUUCCAUCACAAGUCCCACGGGACCAGUAAUUACUCCUAAAAUAGCGGGGAUUCAUAUGGCUGCUGAGGUGGCGCCUAUCGCUUCUACGCCAUAUUCCAUGUAACCAAGCGCGGUAAGUAUCCUUUUAAUCUUUUUUGUAACUAGUUUCGCGCACGUCACAUUCUCUUUGGAUUCGGGAUUUGAUUUCUUCGAUCUUUUGAAGGCGGUAGAUUUUUGUCGUGUUCGAUUCCGUUUGAUACCCAGUUAAAUCUGGAUAAAUAUUUGACUCGUCAUUUGUUGCCAUCUUUUUAAAAUAUAAAUUUUAUAUUUUUGUGGCCAAUAUAUUCAGCUCAAAUUAAUCUGUUGUUUUCGUUCUGUAAGAGUCCAACAUUUUCCGAUCUUAGGUAAAAAGUUAACUCGUCGAUAUUUCUCCGCUGCAGUUUUCUUGGCGUUUCAAAAUCGCUAUGGAAAUAUCGAUUUGUUGAAAUCACUUGUGACAGAUCAAAUGAUUGCCUGCUGUAAAAAUUAAAGUUUGUGUCUAAUUGGGGACAAUAGAUAAACGCGAGUUUGUCUGAUUCCUAUGUAUAACCUCUUUCAAAUAAAAUGUUUUUUUAACCGAGAUUACUUUAUAUAUACCUAACACUGGCACUCCAAGAAAGCGAACCGUGAGUACCGUAAUAGACAUCUUUUGGGCAAAUAAAUGAUUGUGCGUCACAUCUCUCAUUAAUAAAUUUCUCGAUAUUUGACAAGUCAAUGGGUCGCUUUCGAUGAUCAAAUAAAGAGGCAUAGGGAUCUAUUUCAACGUACAUUUGAUGCUUGUCCGUGUAAGGCUUUUUAACGACGUAUUCUAUUCUAUUAAGGUCAUCGAUGUCGCGACUGGCUUUAUACCGUUUACGGUAUUAGACGGGAGAUUAGACCCUGUGUCAACUCGCAAUUCGAUAGACAGAUUCUUGCAUCAUGUAGCUAUGACAGCACCAUCAAAAUGUUCCAUGAAGAAGACGACGACUGGUUCUGUGUUCAUACAUUAGCAGGCCAUGAGUCAACUGUUUGGGGAAUAAGCUUUGAUAAAACGGGAACAAGACUAGCAUCUUGCAGUGAUGACAAGACAGUGAAGAUAUGGCAAGGCUGUCACCCUGAUUGUCAAGAUGGUGAUUCUUUUAGAAGUACUGCAUGGAAAUGUGUUUGUACUUUAUCUGGUUAUCAUACAAGAACCAUCUAUGACAUUGAUUGGUGCAAGCAAAGUGGACUGUUGGCUACCUGUUCUGGUGAUGACACAAUUCAUGUCUUUCAAGAAGAUGAUGUUGAGUCAAGUCAUCAGCCCACGUUUAAUUUGAUGGUAUGUGUAAAGUCAGCUCAUAGUGAAGAUAUUAACUCAGUUAGAUGGAAUCCAGAUGGAAGUGGCCUUUUAGCAUCUUGUGGUGAUGAUGGUAUCAUCAAGGUUUGGAAAUAUGGUCAGUGCUAAGGCAUUUGCCUCUGCUUGUAUGUGUAUAAUGAUUUGAUUUGGGGGUUGUUGGGCAGUUACUGAUGCAGCUUUCAAGCAACUUUUGCACUUGCUCAGUUAUUGAAAAAUGUGAUGGUUGCCAUUCUUUAAAUUAAAAUAUAUGUACAUGUAUGGUAGUUUCCAAGAAAGAGUGUACACGCCAAGUUAGUUAACAACAUCCAUUUUAGCGUUUUGCAGGCACAAUGGUACAUAUGCCUUACAGACAGGAAGGUACUCAGUCUGUGUGUUUUUAGAUGUUGCUAUUCACUAAAUUUGCACAAGGUGUGGAUUUACCUAUAAGUCAGUGUAAAUACGUUGUCACUUUUCUUCUGCUAUUCUUCUGAUAUAUUAAAAGGGAUGAGUGUUUAACAAAAAUGUUGACUGCUUUAAAAUGUGGCACGGUAAAAAAAACUUGCCUCAUUGAUACAUGAAACUUACCAGUUUUCUGUCAUAUCACCUUGUGAGGCUAUUUUUACCUAUAAGUGAGAGCCAAACUGUCAGUGGCCCAUUCACCAUCACGUGCCAGUGGCUAUUUUCGCCAUUUAAGAGGCGUACAUGCAAGAAUCUGUGCACAACUCAAAUAAAUGUACGUACUAGUACUGAUCUGUUUCUAAGGAACAGGUCAUGUGACAUUUGUAUAGAUGAAGUAUACACAUGUAAGCAUAUGUCUAGCUACGCUUUCACGCCUUCUAGAAGCUGUAAGGCACAAUUCUGUGUGCCUUGCAGCACUAAUACAUUUAUGAUUUCGUAACACUUUGGGUUUUGAAUGCAGCCCAUUUAUAAAAGACUAGAUCAAUGCUGAUCAGGAAACACUUGCUGCACUCAUAAAAUGGUGCUGUGGAAGUCAACUAUACGCCAUUUUGCUUUUUUGAUGUUUCCCUGAUUAUGGAUAGCAAAUAUAAAGCAGGAUUGCUGAAUGAAACUGUUUAUAUCUUAGCUUGGUUUUGGCAUUUUAAAACUUUUUUUAAAAAGUGUGUAUGAAUUUAUGAGUGGAGUUAUUCACUUUGAAUACUCUUACAUGUGCUGUUCUGAACCAGAUUUUAAAAGGCAUAGAUUUGAAGAAUUGGAAGUGGAAAUUUUUGGAACUGAAUCUCUGCAGGGUGAAAAUGAAGAAGAUGAUUUUGGAUCCAAAACGGAGACAGAGGAUAACAAAUCUUUGGAUGAAGAUGGUCUCCUUCAGAUUGGAAGAUAAUGUUGCGUAUUUCGAUUGGUUAAACUAUUAAGCAGAGGCCACUGGGAAAUUUGGAGUGAAAUUGUGAAAAAGUACAUUGACAAGGGUAUAGGUGAAGAUCAGGCCAAGGAAAACACCAAUACGAAGACCCUUUGGGUAGUCAAGCAAAUCAUUUUCAACAAGUAGGCCUACAAGGAUUUUUGUCAAGUUACCUGCAUCCAGAAGAUGAUGAUUCUCACCAAGAGAUAUUUUGGAAGAUCUUAAAGACAAAGUAAAUACAAGCAAACAAAGCCCUGAACAAAGAAAUGCCUAAAUCACAAUGCUAAAUUUGACUUUUUUUUCAAGAUGAAUAGGUAGAUAAAGAGGAAGACGGCAUUAGUUAAGGUCUAGCAGAUUAGGACUAAUGUAACUUUAGAACCGGUUUUGUGAUACCUUCAGUGCAAAAGAAGAUAGUAACGCUUGCAGUAUUCCAGUAUGCACCAUGACGUAACAUUCAGGACAUUAAUAAUUUAACUGCGAGGAAGGAUACUUGAAUGAAAAACCAAGCAGAGAAAGGCAAAUCAACAUGCUUCGUUUCAACUGUUGGAAUUAGGAAGUCAGUUAAUUACGUUAAAUUUGUUUGAAAGUAAUUGUGCUUGACACAUUGUACUCAGAAGAUCUUGAUCAAUUUUGAAGAUUCUAUAAUUUGUUUUGUGCCAGUAACAACAUGGAAUAUAGUUGGGGAGGAUUCAAGCUUCCCAUGUUUCCCUCAAUAUAUUUUUCUAACUUA